rnacentral:rRNA from 1 species
AUUGAACGCUGGCGGCAGGCCUAACACAUGCAAGUCGAGCGGAAACGAUGGAAGCUUGCUUCCAGGCGUCGAGCGGCGGACGGGUGAGUAACGCAUAGGAAUCUGCCCGAUAGUGGGGGAUAACCUGGGGAAACCCAGGCUAAUACCGCAUACGUCCUACGGGAGAAAGCAGGGGAUCUUCGGACCUUGCGCUAUCGGAUGAGCCUAUGUCGGAUUAGCUAGUUGGUGAGGUAAUGGCUCACCAAGGCUGCGAUCCGUAGCUGGUCUGAGAGGAUGAUCAGCCACAUCGGGACUGAGACACGGCCCGAACUCCUACGGGAGGCAGCAGUGGGGAAUAUUGGACAAUGGGCGAAAGCCUGAUCCAGCCAUGCCGCGUGUGUGAAGAAGGCUUUCGGGUUGUAAAGCACUUUCAGUGGGGAAGAAAUCCUCGGGGCCAAUACCCUCGAGGGAGGACAUCACCCACAGAAGAAGCACCGGCUAACUCCGUGCCAGCAGCCGCGGUAAUACGGAGGGUGCGAGCGUUAAUCGGAAUUACUGGGCGUAAAGCGCGCGUAGGCGGCGUGAUAAGCCGGUUGUGAAAGCCCCGGGCUCAACCUGGGAACGGCAUCCGGAACUGUCAGGCUAGAGUGCAGGAGAGGAAGGUAGAAUUCCCGGUGUAGCGGUGAAAUGCGUAGAGAUCGGGAGGAAUACCAGUGGCGAAGGCGGCCUUCUGGACUGACACUGACGCUGAGGUGCGAAAGCGUGGGUAGCAAACAGGAUUAGAUACCCUGGUAGUCCACGCCGUAAACGAUGUCGACUAGCCGUUGGGGUCCUUGUGAACUUUGUGGCGCAGUUAACGCGAUAAGUCGACCGCCUGGGGAGUACGGCCGCAAGGUUAAAACUCAAAUGAAUUGACGGGGGCCCGCACAAGCGGUGGAGCAUGUGGUUUAAUUCGAUGCAACGCGAAGAACCUUACCUACUCUUGACAUCGUGCGAACUUUCCAGAGAUGGAUUGGUGCCUUCGGGAACGCACAGACAGGUGCUGCAUGGCCGUCGUCAGCUCGUGUUGUGAAAUGUUGGGUUAAGUCCCGUAACGAGCGCAACCCUUGUCCCUAUUUGCCAGCGAUUCGGUCGGGAACUCUAGGGAGACUGCCGGUGACAAACCGGAGGAAGGUGGGGACGACGUCAGGUCAUCAUGGCCCUUACGAGUAGGGCUACACACGUGCUACAAUGGCCGGUACAAAGGGUUGCGAAGCCGCGAGGUGGAGCUAAUCCCGAAAAGCCGGUCUCAGUCCGGAUCGGAGUCUGCAACUCGACUCCGUGAAGUCGGAAUCGCUAGUAAUCGUGAAUCAGAAUGUCACGGUGAAUACGUUCCCGGGCCUUGUACACACCGCCCGUCACACCAUGGGAGUGGACUGCACCAGAAGUGGUUAGCCUAACUUCGGAGGGCGAUCACCACGGUGUGGUUCAUGACUGGGGUG